rnacentral:tRNA from 1 species
CAAAGAAUAGUUUAAUGAAAAUUGUAAUUUUGGAAAUUAUAGAUAAAGAAAUUCUUUUUCUUUGA